rnacentral:misc_RNA from 1 species
GAGCAAUGUCAAUGGAAGCAAUAAAGCUGAUGAUGGAUUAAUGGGGGAUGUUCGUGUUAGGCUCUAUGGAAGCUAUGAAUACAUGUACGUGGAUCCCAUUAAAUGGUGUUCUGAGUUUCGGGUUACACUUGAGCAGAACUAUGGUUGUUAUGAAGAUAUAUUCAGGAAAGCUCUGGAGCAGGUUCUUUCUUCAUCAAAAUGUGGUCGAGUAAAGGGGAAAGUAGCCAAAUCCAAAGGUACCAGUAAACAAGUGAAAGAAACUGAAAAGCAUGACAGGGGUCAGAAGAGACUAAAGCAAAAUAAGCAAGCUGCAACAGCGGCAAAAUGUAAAAGCCCUAAGCAAAAUGAGGAUGCUGCUUUGUCUGGAACAUCUGAAGAACUGAGUGCACGGAGGACCAAAGUCAUGCAAACUCUUGGUCUAAUUGCUCCUUCUGGAUCUCCAUUCCACAAAAUGAGUGCAUUUAUAUGAGUUUUUAAUGUGUUACGAAUUGAAAGAAAUUUUCCAUUUUGACUGAUGUGGCAUCAAUGUGCAAGGUCACUUGUAUUUCACCUUGCAUUUUUGUCUAGUCCAAGAUCUUGGUGCUGGCACAGGGAGUGGUGCUAGAAGGGAAUGACAACAAAUUUAUAGCGGCCUGAUGCCUUGCCUAUUUUAUGAUGCCAGAUACAGGUUUAGUCAAUUGAGUUGCAUAAUUUUAUAGGGUAUUGAUAAAUUUCGAAUUAGAUAUCUAGCAUGCCCUCUGGAUAAUUUCAUAAAGAUGUUUCAACUGAGGGGUCUGAACUUCAAGGUUUACCGCUAGAUUAAGUCUCCUGUUAUCUGGCAUUCGGGUAUUUAUCAAAA